UUUCACUUUUUUUAUAUUAAAUUUGACAUUUUUAACAUCCUAUUCUUGGACAUUUUUUCAGAUUAAAAUAUGAAAAAUGCCGGUUUAAUUUAAUGCCUUUCUAUGAACCCCAGAAAUAAGUGUUGUGUUUUCCUUGACGUCCGUGAACAUAACGCCACAGUGAAGUGCAACAGGAUGAAGUCUCAGAAGGUCAGACGGCGUCCAGAGUCCUGUCACUCCUACCACCCGAAGGUGAGCGCUCUUUACCCGCCGUCAGACAUUCAGACGGUCUCUGGUUCACAUCCUGGACUGUAAUUUUACUCCGUGUAACUCUAUAAUAACAGCAUGACAUGAAAAGAAAGUCCAUUUUUAACCCGAGUGACUUCAGCAGUUGUUUUAUUUCUACAACAGUUUCUGUGAGCUGUUCAUAAAUGCUGUAACUUACCAGGAAUCGACUUUUUGGUCUUAUGAAUUCUGUUUCUACUGUUAUAGAUACAAUUAUUUAUCCGUGCUGUACUUGGACUGGUAUUUUCUCUGUAGCAUGAGCGCCCUCUGCUGGCCAGAGUUUAACUGUACACUCUAUGUUGUGAUGAUUGUACGAUUUGAGGGGACAGUUACCAAGUCAGAAAAAAGCAAAAUUGGAAACAAGAUGGCUACAUCUACGAAAGUUAUUUAAGUGCUUGCCUUAUAUUCGGACAAGGCUAGCGCUAACAUGAACCUCCGAUUUUGCUUUUUUCCGACUUGGUAACUGAAACGCUAAGAACUCGGGUGUGACGUCAUUUUCAGCUCGGACUUCUGACUUCCGAGAAAACUCGAACUCAGCAUAUGACUCAUUUUAUACAUUCCAAGGCUGGUGUGCAUGGUUACCAUGGUGACCUAACACUGUUUUGAUUGGCUGAUGAGAAAUUGUUGUUAAUUGUCUUAAAGUUCAUCAAAGAGUUUGUCACAGUUACGAACCAUCAGAGCUAACAUUAACGUUAAAAUCCUCCGACAGGAAAAUGCGAAGGAGUGCGGCGGGGCGGCGACCGUCUUCCUGUCCCUCCCUCUCUUCAUGUCCUCGCUGCUCGUCUCGUCGCUCCUUCAGCGCUGGACGUAGACCAGAUUCGACCAAUCAGGACACUCCGAGGGAAGUCAGCAGGUCAACAGGAGAGGAAGUACCAAAAACUGUGGAGCUGAAGAGUCCAGGACUGUGGGUUUUCCUCCUCCUGUUCAGACCGGUCUCGGCUCGCCUUAUGACGGAUUUAAAGGGCUAUCUGACUUUUUUCUUUUCUACUUGAAUCUAGACGUUUUUCUCCCUCCUGGACUGAAUCAGGAUGAAGAGUUUUUAGGAGAACACAGACUGACGUACGGACAGAUGUAAACGGCAGC